rnacentral:rRNA from 1 species
CACGUAGGGGGCAAGCGUUGUCCGGAUUUAUUGGGCGUAAAGAGCUCGUAGGCGGUGUGUCGCGUCGGCCGUGAAAACCUGGGGCUCAACUCUGGGCGUGCGGUCGAUACGGGCAUCACUGGAGUUCGGCAGGGGAGACUGGAAUUCCUGGUGUAGCGGUGAAAUGCGCAGAUAUCAGGAGGAACACCGGUGGCGAAGGCGGGUCUCUGGGCCGAUACUGACGCUGAGGAGCGAAAGCAUGGGUAGCGAACAGG